AAUUUGUUGAAAGAGGAUACCCCACUAUCAUCAUCAUCAUUCCAUCCGCAAAACAGGAAAGAAGAAAUAAAAAGAAAAAGAAUAAAUAUCAGCAACAACUAGAAGUUUCUGCAUAAACAAGCUCUAAGAUUAAAAAAAAAAUUACAUGGAAAGAAUAAUAAACAGAAAUUUGAAUUAAGUUACUAAAGGAAUAACCAAUAAGUGAGCAGGUGAAAAGAAAUGUCACCACCCCCCUUGCUAUAGAAAUCUAU
rnacentral:misc_RNA from 1 species